AGUAGCAGCAGGCAAUAUCAACCAUGUUGUGGAAUAUCCCUUUACCAAGUCUUAAUAAAAUCCAUGAUCAGCAAAUGGCUUCGACCACAUGGAUCUCUGGGUCAUCAGUCCAGGCCGUAAAGACUCCGAUAGAGUAGCGGUUCGGCCAAGAACAUUGCCUUGUUUUCAUCACCAACAGCUGCUUGGUUGGUCCUGAACGAUGUAUGCCGUAUAUCCUCAUUAUUGAGAGUCUUUGUUUGUUUUUGUUUUGAAGGGGGGGAAAAUUUUCAUCGAUAGAUUUUAAAUUUUUUUCUUGGUUUUCCUUUUUCUCAUGUAGGAAGGAAAUCCAUUGUUUUACUUUG
rnacentral:sRNA from 1 species